UACGUAGGAGGCAAGCGUUGUCCGGAAUUACUGGGCGUAAAGCGCGUGUAGGUGGUGGGACAAGUCUGCUGUGAAAGCGCCUGGCUUAACCGGGCGAGGUCGGCGGAAACUGUCGCACUCGAGGACGGUAGAGGGGGGUGGAAUUCCCGGUGUAGUGGUGAAAUGCGUAGAGAUCGGGAGGAACACCUGUGGCGAAGGCGGCCCCCGGGCCGGCCCUGACACUGAGACGCGGAAGGCGUGGGGAGCGAACGGG
rnacentral:rRNA from 1 species